GAGUUUUAUUCUUGCUUAUUUAUUUACUUUUAAAUUAUUUUAUAUAUAAGUUUUUGCAUGAUUUAUUAAUUAUUUUGUCUUAAUGAUUUUUAAUUUAUAUUAAUUAUUUGUAGUAAUGAAUUUUAUUAAUUUAUGGGAAUUUGAUUUGGUAAUUUUGAUUUAUUAUUGGUAAAAUUUGUGCCAGCAUCCGCGGUUAUACAAUGAAUAUAAGUAAAUAUUUUUGGUUAAAGUAGUUAAAAUUUUAUUUUGAGGUUAUUAUAUUAUUUUUAGGUGAAAUUUUAAUAUUUAUUAUGACUUUAUUUUAUUUGAAGCUAUUAAAUCUUUAAUUUUAAACUAGGAUUAGAUACCCUAUUAUUUUAGAUAUAAAUUAAUUUUAACCUAGGUAGUACUAGUUAGGAUCUUGAAACUUAAAGAAUUUGGCGGUAUUUUAGUCUAUUUAGAGGAAUUUGUCCCUUAAUCGAUAGUCCGCGUUGAACCUUACCAAAUUUAAUUGUAUGUAUACCGCCGUUAUAACGAAAAUCCUUUUAGGGUUUAAUAAUUUUCUGGAUUUAUUUUAAAAUUUAUUUCAGGUCAAGGUGCAGUUUAUAAUUUGGUGGAGAUGAAUUACAUUUAUAUUUAUUAUUGGAUUAUUAAUUGAAAUUUUAUUAUGAAAUUGGAUUUAAUUGUAAUUUUUUAUAGAUUGUAUAAAUGAUUUUAGCUCUAUAAUAUGUACACAUCGCCCGUCACUCUCAUUAUUUAUUAAUUGAGAUAAGUCGUAACAUAGUGGUUGUACCGGAAGGUGUAGCUAGAAUGAAUAAUUUUAAUUAAUA
rnacentral:ncRNA from 1 species